rnacentral:sRNA from 1 species
GUCGUGAGAUGUUGGGUUAAGUCCCGCAACGAGCGCAACCCUCGUCCAAUGUUGCCAGCGGGUAAUGCCGGGGACUCAUUGGAGACUGCCGGGGUCAGCUCGGAGGAAGGUGGGGAUGACGUCAAGUCAUCAUGCCCCUUAUGUCUUGGGCUGCAAACAUGCUACAAUGGCCGGUACAAAGGGCUGCGAACCUGCGAGGGUAAGCGAAUCCCGGAAAGCCGGUCUCAGUUCGGAUCGGGGUCUGCAACUCGGCCCCGUGAAGCCGGAGUCGCUAGUAAUCGCGGAUCAGCAACGCCGCGGUGAAUACGUUCCCGGGCCUUGUACACACCGCCCGUCACACCACGAAAGUGGGUAACACCCGAAGCCGGUGGCCUAACCCUUGUGGAAGGAGCCGUCGAAGGUGGGAUCCGCGAUUGGGGUGAAGUCGUAACAAGGUAGCCGUACCGGAAGGUGCGGCUGGAUCACCUCCUUUCUAAGGAGCCUUUGGCGAUCCGGUGAGUCUCGCCGAAUGCGCGAGAUCUCUGCAGUACCGGUGGCUUCAGGUCGGUGCACUGGCUAUUCUUUUGACACCCAUUCCCGACGGCGUCUAGUAGUCCCUCUCGAGGGGCGAACGGGCCGGCCGACGGAUGGGCUUCGUCAUGAGGACACACUGUUCAGCUUUGAGGGUGCGAGCCCUCGUUGGACCUUGAGAACUCGAUAGCGAGCGCGAGCAUCUACAGUCAAGUUACAAAGGGCUUACGGUGGAUGCCUUGGCGCCAGGAGCCGAUGAAGGACGCGUCAGGCUGCGAUAAGCCUCGGGGAGCUGCCGAGAGAGCUGAGAUCCGAGGAUGU